UUUUCUUUCCCUUUUCUUUUGUUCUCUCUAACAAACUUUACUAUAGUUGCUGAAUGGAGCCUAUGAGAAAGCACUACGAUUACUCCACCGCCAAUCCGCAGUUCCUAUUGUGUGCCUGGAGGCGGGUCUUGGGACAUAACGGCACCAAUUGAAACGGAGCUGGGCGGGAGGAGCACUUCAGUUAUGCUGAGACUGUGUUAGGUGAACAGAUGAGUAGUUUGGAGCGCUAAUAGCGUGUAAUAGUUUAGUGAAGUUCCUUUCUCAGCGUGCUCCUGCUCAGUGUGUACAGUCACAUCAGAACAAUGCCAAAGUCCCGUAAAGGAAAAGGAGCUGCAAGAGCAGACAUAUGGACACUAGCUGGAGGAGUUGAAUCUGUUGCUGAAAGAUUCCUGUCAGUUGAUAUUUUAAAUCAAGACACCUCAUACAGUUCUGCUAUUUGGACAAGAUUGAGUGUGGACAUUUUUGGAAAUGACAGACAGAAAAACAAAGAUUGGUUGAAUGUUUCAUGGCGCUAUAAUCGAAGAAAUGUGAAAGGAAAGGUCAUGGAACAAAGCUGGUUAAAAGAAAUAAUGACGGAUGAAGAAAAAAUGACAGAAAAAAAGGUUUCAGAAGAAAAUUUAGUAUCCAUUGAAGACCUACAAGAACCAGCUGAAGAUUUUACCUCAAACAGAGAGACACACAUUUUGGAUUUGUUUGAGACAGAGGAAAAAAAAGUGUUUUCUGAAGAGCUAGUUUUGCAUGAAAUCUCAGAAAGGAGAGAGAAAAUAAAGCAAGAGGACUACUUGGAUUAGAAAAGAAAGACAAACCUCCAGCAGCACAUAUAGAAAUGUAACUACUACCCCAAAGAAAUUUGUCAUUUUUAUAGCUCGAAAACAGUGGAGGAGAAUUGCACCAAAAGGAAGUAUCAAUAAAUGACGACAGCCAUGGACCCACAUUCUUUAUAACCAGUUUAAAAAGGAGAAUCCUUCAUGUGCACUUCAUUUUACACAUCAACAUCUACGUCUUAAAAACAUGCCCCCUACAUGAGAGUACAGGCCAUUUGUAAAUUUUCAUCCUGCAAAGCUUGGUAUUUAUUUACAAUGCAAAAUAAGCCCAACCCACUGAGGACAAGCAUCAAAGUAACUGUUCACCGUCGAGGACCGAUUCACCGUCUAAAAACAGAGACACAGUUUAGUCCAGCAAGCAACAUUCGCAGAGGCAAAAUUGAAAGAGCAGUGCUUCAUGGAGUUAGGUCUACACUCCAAAAGUCUUUAGAUGAUUUCCACUGAACAGUGUUGCAUUGUUCUAUCAUCAGGAGACUUUGUUCUUUGUGUUGAUCUAUAGACUCCUUUGUAAAAAGAAAUACUCACAUUUACGUGUAAUUAUCCCAUCUUAUAGUGCAGGGGUGUCAAACUCAUUUUUACCGAGGGCCACAUCAGCAGUAUGGUGGCCCUGAAGGGUUCGAUUGUAAUUUAUCCUGCUGUGAUUGCAGUUUUUCUUGGAGGCUGAAUUCUGUGUUUGGUGUCAAAUUGUCAAAUUUAUACAGUAUAUUUAUAAUGUACAUCUACAUUAAUAUUGUCCUCCUUUACCACAGACACGGCCUCAUAACACAAGAGACGCACCGGUUUCUCUUCCUAAAGCACAAACUUGUAUUUACUUUCAUUAAACCUCCUCAUUCUGCUUAA